UUUUUUUGCAUUUUGCUUCAUGAAUUUACCAAAUUACCCUCCUUUCAAAAUAUGAAAUUUCUCUUCCCCUUUCGAUCAUUCCAGACACGAGAGAGAGAGUGAGAGAGAAAGAGAGGUGCUCUGUUUUUCCCCUUCGUUCUUUCGUUAUUCCUCUGGGUCUUCGCAUCCUUCUCUUCCAAUUCUGCCACCUCUGACCACCACCGUUCGACACACCAUCAACAAGAGUAGAAACUCCACUUGCCGCUACUGUGACAUUGUCGAGAUCUCUUCGUUCUUUCCUGCUCUGUGUUUUCCGUAAACCACUGUAUUGUGGUAUAAAUCGGGGUUUGGAAGAAGAAGAUUUUGAUAGGAACUAAAAAGGGAGAAAAUCUUUGAAAAUUUGGGAACACCACAGAUAGUGUAGCUGACGUUGAAUCACCCACUGAACAUUGAGGAGUUUUUGAUUGAUUAGAAGCGGAGGAGCUAAGGAUUUAACUUUCUCUUAACGUAAAGUUUUAAUUAUGAAAUUUUAUUUUGUAAACUUAUUGUUAGGUGCUCCACAUAGUCUGUGGUCAGUUUUUUUUUUUGUGGUUAUAUAUUUUAUCUGUCAGCUGGAAGGAGCUCUACUCUUGAUUGGCUUGAUAUUUUUGGUUGAAAUAUUAUCUUGUAGAA